rnacentral:rRNA from 1 species
AGUGAACGCUGGCGGUAGGCCUAACACAUGCAAGUCGAACGGCAGCACAGGAGAGCUUGCUCUCUGGGUGGCGAGUGGCGGACGGGUGAGGAAUACAUCGGAAUCUGCCCAGUCGUGGGGGAUAACGUAGGGAAACUUACGCUAAUACCGCAUACGACCUUCGGGUGAAAGAGGGGGAUCGCAAGACCUCUCGCGAUUGGAUGAGCCGAUGUCGGAUUAGCUAGUUGGCGGGGUAAUGGCCCACCAAGGCGACGAUCCGUAGCUGGUCUGAGUGGAUGAUCAGCCACACUGGAACUGAGACACGGUCCAGACUCCUACGGGAGGCAGCAGUGGGGAAUAUUGGACAAUGGGCGCAAGCCUGAUCCAGCCAUACCGCGUGGGUGAAGAAGGCCUUCGGGUUGUAAAGCCCUUUUGUUGGGAAAGAAAUCUUUCAGGCUAAUACCCUGGGAGGAUGACGGUACCCAAAGAAUAAGCACCGGCUAACUUCGUG